rnacentral:rRNA from 1 species
GAUGAACGCUGGCGGCGUGCUUAACACAUGCAAGUCGAACGAUGAAGGAAGCUUGCUUCUGGAUUAGUGGCGAACGGGUGAGUAACACGUGAGUAACCUGCCCUUGACUCUGGGAUAAGCACUGGAAACGGUGUCUAAUACCGGAUACGAACCUCAGCCGCAUGGCUAGGGGUUGGAAAGAAUUUUGGUCAAGGAUGGACUCGCGGCCCAUCAGCUAGUUGGUGAGGUAACGGCCCACCAAGGCGACGACGGGUAGCCGGCCUGAGAGGGUGACCGGCCACACUGGGACUGAGACACGGCCCAGACUCCUACGGGAGGCAGCAGUGGGGAAUUUUGGACAAUGGGCGCAAGCCUGAUCCAGCAAUGCCGCGUGAGUGAAGAAGGCCUGG